GGAACAAUGACAGUACCAGCUCUUGGAUGGCAGAAAACACAGAUACUGUUAAACACCCUGCAGCACACUGACUUACUUGGCACCAGAUUGAUGGGGGGAAGUGCUUCUGUGUGUGUGUGUGUCUUACUGGAUGAUAAAUAAAGUACUGUUUGGCCAAUGAGGCAGCAAGUUAGGUGGGACUAGGAGUCAAGGAGGAUUCUGGGAAAUGUAGUAAAGAAGUGGUGAUCCAGGCAGGAAGUGACAUAGCAGGGAGACUCAUAAACAAGGGCAAGAAGGAAGUGGGCCCCUUCUCUCUUCCUCCUGGUCUCUGCUCUGGAGUCGCCAUGUGAUCCACCAGAAAGAGAGGGCACCAGCAGAAGGCAUCCUCUAUAAGAUAAAUCUUAUAAAAUAUAUAUAUUUAUGAUAAUUAAGACUGAGCCAGCAGAUGAGAAAUCCUAGCUAUUGGGCAAGCAGCAUUUGUACCAAAUAUAAGUCUCUGUAUAUUAUUUUGGGCCCUAACUAGGCGGGCAGAACUUGGGUGGCUGGUGGAAAGCGCCCACAUGGCAGUAGGGCUCAGGUGGCUUUUGGCAAAAAGAUUUAUCAUAACACAAGAUGAGAGUAGUGGCAAGCUAGUUAAACCCUCAUGUAUGCAAACAGUGUGCUGAAAACUAAACGUCAAAUGUGUCCACUUAUGCAAACAGUUAUUUCUAAUUAUAUAUGUGUGUACCUCUUCUGGACAUAGUGAAAUGGCAGCGACACUCGGGAAAAUGUUUCAGAAUCCAGGGAAUCAGUUAUUAGGAACUUUCAGAUAUAGGCAACAAGAAACUUAACUCAAAUUACUUUUAAAAAUUCAUUGUCUAGAAAGACUGCAAAAGAUACUUCUGAGAUUUUAGAAUUGAGUGAAGGAAGAGAGUAAAGAGAAGUAGAGAGGGAAGGGAGUGAAUACAAAAGGACAGGAGGAGGAGAGGGGGAGUGUGUGGAGAGAGAGGGAGGAAGUAAGUAGAGGGCAGAGGAAAGGGUCCCUGAAGGGAGAAGAGAGAGUGAAGAAGCAGGGCAGCACAGGCAAGAGCGGCAUAGAUGUGGGGUCUGCAAGCUUAGAGGCUCUGGAUGAAGGAUUCUCCCUUCAUCUUCUUCUGUCUCAUCCAGAUUCUCCCUUGUCUAGGACAUGGGGUAUCCUGUGCUUCCGGGGUGCUACAGAAAGGACUUCACCUAGUAGAGACAUAUGCCCACUGAUGGAUAAUCCAGGUUGCCUGUGGAUGAAGUGCAAUGCUCUGCCAUGUCCUUCAGCAUGAGGAAUGGAAAAAAGUCUCAAUUUCUGCAGAGUAUACAUUGGACAGGGAAGUGCAUGUGGCCUUGCAAACUGAAGAAUUCAGCUGCUGAAAUCUGUUCCAAGAAGUAGAGACUGCAUUUGGAGGGUGUGGCUUGCGGGUUUCACUUACUGUUGAAAUAGAGGAUGACUUCCAAAAAACUGACAGGAGCACAGAGCCUGUGUCAUCUCCAUUCCCAGUGAUUUCUCUUUGAUUGAUGUGCCAUUAAUGCUUUAAUUGGCAACAGGUGCGGAUGAUUGCUGUUUCCUAUGCUGAGAAAUGUGAAAUUGAACAUAAGGUUCUGAUAAAUUAAUAAACUCCUCUGCUCCAAACA
rnacentral:lncRNA from 1 species